rnacentral:lncRNA from 1 species
GGUGUACGUAGGAGUGUAGUGAGAAACACAAAUUAAAGUGAAGUACAGAUUGGACAUAAUUUUAAAGAAGAGCUCAAAGGUACAUUCCUUAACUCAUUACAGAUAAAUUUACCAAAAAUAUUAAAUAAGCUAGUAUAAUGGGCUGUAAAAUGAACAUCAAAAAUAUGAAAAAGAAGAUGUUGUAUAAUUGCCAAUGAGACAACUCUCCACAAGAGACCAAGUGACACAGAAAUUAACA